GGUUAGAGCCACGUGAAUAGAUGAUACCACCGGGAAAGGAAACAGAGAGAAAAGCAAUGAGCUAAGGCAGAGCCCCGAGGGACCCAGCCUCCAGUGGAUGGGCAGGGGGAAAGGGAUGCAUGAAACAGCCUGGGAACCUAAGACCCGAAGAAGAGAAGAGCUCUAAAGAGGCCAAGGAAAUGGAGAAUCUCAAGAAGCUGUAAGAGGGCUGCAAUAAAACUGGGUCUGGUGGAGGUUGAGAAAUUCAUUGAGCCAACAUUGAAAGAGACAGGAAAAUGGCUGCUGCCUUCAGAAGAAACAGUUGGAGAGGAGAAGGAAAUUCUCUGAAUACUUCUAUAGGUGAGCUCACAGACCUGCGUGGAUACAACAGGCUUGACUCCCACAAUAUCUUACCAAAAUAUUACCUGCAGACUUCUGUUUACUUCGCUAUGCAAGUUUCAGGGAUUUGCCCUUGGAGAACUGCAGCCAGCCCUCUGAGAUGCCAGCCCUGCACCCUCACUAGACAUCUAUCAAAGGUCAUAAUAUCCAAAGCCACAUGUGGAGUCUUCAAUUUGAAGUCAGCAUGUUAAAGGGAACAACCUCUUUGAUCUCAGCUGCAGCAAAUUCUUCCUCGACACGUCUCCACAGGCAAGGGAAAUAAAAGCAAAAAUUAACUAUUGGGACUGCAUCAAGAUAAAAAGCUCUGCACAGCAA